UUUCAAAUGUUGGAGAAAAGCAUGCAAAACCAAGUGCAUUGGACUAAACAGCCAGGGUCAGGCCUGUGUCUGUCGUGACCUAGCUUUGCAACCCUGACCAAGGGAAAAAUAGCCCCAUAAUACCCUGGCUCCUGUAGAGGCCUGCCUUCAGAUUACCAAUUUGGGAAUGAGGAAGGAAAAGCAGUCAUCUGAAGGAUUCCGUGAAGAGCUCCUCAGAUCCGCCCACCACCCACACGGCCACCCGGAGCGCAGGUAGAAGCGCAUGCGCAGGUCGCCCAGAGCCGCGGCUCUCAGGCCCACACUACGCCUUGUGAAGCCAUGCGUGACUCCUUCUACCUCUUGAGGUCAAGAACAGCAUUUCCAACUGCCCACGAGAUAUCUCUUCCUCUAUGCUCUUCGUCCAUCUGUUAGUCAUAGACUCAUCAGACAUUGAAUGAGUGCCACCACGUCACAGGUUCUAUCAAAGUAUCAAGGAUCUACAGAGGAAUGAGGCAUAGUCCACAUGCAAGAUGUCUAAUGUCCAC